UGUGAAAUGGCUAGAUUCAAAAUUCGGCAUUUUCAUGUUGAGAACCUUCAGGAGUGACACAUUUAUGGGUAUGUGAAUAAGGUGUGAGAAGGGCAAGUUGAGCUAGACUCUGAAGAGACCCAAUUGUCAAGACAAAACUUUUUGCUCAGCUAUGUUAUUCAAGGAAGUGCUGCCUGCCAUAGAUUCAAUUUUGAGCAGAGGUUAAGAUGGUUAAUAUGGAAACUCAGAAAUCUUCCUUGAAUGUCCAUAUUCUAAGAUUGACACGUGGCUAUUCCUAGGCACUGCCAGAUGGAAAAGGAGAGAGAAGAGGGUUACUACAAACACGUGCUCUACUUCUGCUGAAAUUGGCUGAUGUCUGCAUUUGGCUGGAAGCAGAGAAUCUGGUGAAAGGGUGUGAUCAGGAAAGGGUUACUUCACCCCUGGGGUCUCGACUCAGAAUAGAGAUUGAGAAUCACAGAUCUAGUUGAACCAUCCAACUUUCGAACAUGAAUAAACUGAGGACCCAGAGGUGAAGUGAUUUUUCCACAGUCCCACGACAGAUAUGGCCAAACCAGGGAUCCUUUUGCAUUGUGGUUUUGGGAAUCACCUGUAAACAGUAAGAACAAGGUAGCAAGGCUGGGGCUCAGCUGUAGACAAUAAAGCCUUUGCCUGAGGGUUGCAGGAAUGAGAGGCCUCUCUGAGAGGCCCCAAGUCGAUUUUGCCCUUCUCCAGAGACAGAGAGCUGGUCUACCUGAGGCUGACAUGGGGAGGAAAGGCAAAGAGAAGGAUUGCCUGAAUGUCAAUGGUGAUUUUGCACAUUUUACAGUCACUUUUAUAAAAAGGUAAGUGGAAAAAAAUUCUAUUUUCCAUUUCCUGCCAGGUUUUAUAUUUUACCCUUCACUUGCAAAAAAUGUCCAAAUCCAACGCUUACACUUUAGAGGUGUAAUUUGGUUCUAAUUUUAUUUUUAAAAAUUUGCAGAUAGAGUUAGUGGCUCACUGUAUCAUUUUAUUUUUUCUAAAGCAGUAUAAUUUCUGGAGUGCAAAUGAGAAAGAUUCGAGAGGCCUGGUAUAAGAUAUAAAUUUAGUUAAAAUUGUUCCUCUAGAUUGUAAAUUAUACAUUGUGAUCCUGAUAUUCUAGUAAUAUUAACACAACUGAUGCAUAAUCUUAAAGUUUAUGUGCCUCUACCCUUUCAUUUUUAAACCUUCUGGAGGAUUAACAUGCUGUUCAAUAGUCUACAGACCUGCAG
rnacentral:lncRNA from 1 species